rnacentral:rRNA from 1 species
UAGGGAAUCUUCCGCAAUGGACGCAAGCCUGACGGAGCAACGCCGCGUGAGUGAAGAAGGAUUUCGGUUCGUAAAACUCUGUUGUUAGAGAAGAACAGCGCAUAGAGUAACUGUUAUGCGUGUGACGGUAUCUAACCAGAAAGCCACGGCUAACUACGUGCCAGCAGCCGCGGUAAUACGUAGGUGGCAAGCGUUGUCCGGAUUUAUUGGGCGUAAAGCGAGCGCAGGCGGUCAAUUAAGUCUGAUGUGAAAGCCCCCGGCUCAACCGGGGAGGGUCAUUGGAAACUGGUUGACUUGAGUGCAGAAGAGGAGAGUGGAAUUCCAUGUGUAGCGGUGAAAUGCGUAGAUAUAUGGAGGAACACCGGUGGCGAAAGCGGCUCUCUGGUCUGUAACUGACGCUGAGGCUCGAAAGCGUGGGGAGCGAACAGG